GCCCGGCCCGGCCCCCAGGGCGCGCGGGCCGCGGCUGGGAUCCGGGAGGAAGAGGGUCGGUCCUCCGCGGAGAACACGGGGAGAUGAUAUUAUUAUCAUUAUUUGUUAUUAUUAGUAGUAGUAUACAAGGAAAAAGCUGUUUGCACCUCUGGAAUCACAGAAUCCUCCGGGCUGGAAAGGACCACAGUGGAUCAUCUGGUCCAACCUCCCUGCUCAAGCACCAAGCACAACUUGGCUCCAUGCUCUUGGCACCCACCCAUUUUAGAAAUUUACACACGUUGACGAGUCCCCCUCUCGGUUGUCUCUCUCUUCUCAAGGCUGAACAGGCUUUCUGCGUGAGAGAGAUGCUCCAGUUCCCUAAUCACCUUUGUUGCCUCCUGCUGGACCUGUUCCAGGAGCUCCAUGUCUCUGCUAGGCUGAGCAGCUUAGAACUGGACAUCCUACUCCAGAUGUGGCCUCACCAGGACUGAGAAGCUGGAAAAGUCCUGGAAAAUUGCAAAAACAAUUACAAAACAGCUGGAAGCAGAAUUUCAACCCAACCCAAAGCAAACUUUUUCCUUCUUAAAACUUUUUUUUUUGGAAAGAAGAUGCCAACACAAAGAAAAUGUUUUCUGCAUAGCCACAUUUUUAUUUUAGCACCAAUGACGACAAACCUGACAAUUUUAUUCGCCAGUGUUAGGGCUGUUGGGCACAAACGUGCAGCCUCUGCUACAGAGCACAUCUGUGUUUUUUUCAAGGCAAGUGUAGGUGGGAUGCGGCGCUUCCCACAGAAGACCAGACAUGAGCUUUUCAGCCGUUUCUCAUGUAUUGCACUCCCUAAUUCUGUAAACAGCUUCACUUUGUAAAAUAUCCUAACAACUGAAUAACAGAUUUGAGGGAUCAACAAGAGAGACACGUUCUUGAGGUGGAAGUGCCUCACUGAAUAUCUUGUACCUUCAACUGUGCUGCCUAAAAAGGCACAUAAAGUAGUUCCACAUAGAAUAUAUAAGGAAAUUCUACAUAGUAGCCUAUACAGGAGAUCCCAAUUUUAUCUCAAUUUUUUCUCAAUUUUAUCUCAAAAGCAUCAUCCCAGCUACAUGUCAAAAUGGACAGUUUUAGAGAUUAAAACUACCCCUUAUUUCUUUGAGUGCACUGUAAAUUAAAGAGCAUAUUUUCCUGUGCAACUGUGCUGGGAUGGUUUCAUGGAUGUAGAAAUUCCUGUUCUCUUCAAAUGCAUGAAGUAAUGGAACAAAUUGGAGCACAACCUGGCAAUGAGGAGAACUGGGCUUAUCUUUAUGAGACCUGCUGCUGAAAGAAAAGUGUGCAAUCUGCUCUGUUCCUCACAAAGCAGGGAAUUGUUCACGAGGUCUUAAGUCAGUAGAUAACAUCCCUAAAAUUGCAAGAUGGUUAGAAAAACCAGAGGACAAGCAAUGCAAACAUUUCACACACAAUUGCCAUAAUUGUUUUCUUCAACCCAAAAGCAUCAGGCUAAUCUUGUUCAGGCUAAGCUGCAAACAGCUCCCUUGAUCCACACCCCUAUACAGCAAAUUAGAGACCUGAGAGAUUGCAGUAAUUGAAAUGGAUCUCUUCCCAGAAGAAUUUUCUACAUCUCUGUAUCACCCUUGAGAUGUAGCUUGCCUGAGGGAAGAGGCAUCUCUGCAACCUUCUACCAGAAUUCAGGAAAGAAAGCAGUCACCGGUUCCUCUCCAAAUUUUCCAUUGCACAAGGGAUAUGAGCCUUGCUGUUGCAACCCUAAUCUCACCACUUGGUUUGCUAGAUGCUGGAAAACCCCAGCUGAGCACAGUUUGGGGGUUUGGGUAGCAGUGCACAGUUCUAGACUCUCAGAAGGCUUUUCCAGGCUUUCUUAUUCGGGCAGGUAUUAACCAUGGAAACAUGCCAACCCAAGCACUUCCAGCCUGAAGUACUGCUCAGAUUAGCAAAACCCUACAUUUACACGAGGGCUAUGUUAGCAUAAGUACUGGCAUCUUCAGAUGUGUUGUUAUUCCAUACAAAAAAAAGGAUGUUUUGGUGUAAACUGAAGAAAGAGUAAAAAAACCAAAGCCUGCAUACUUUAGUACCUUUAACAAAUAAAAGGGUGUCUGCAGUAGCAACAAAGCCCAGGGUGAAGGAAAGGGUAAACUGAUGCUAUUUGAUUAGAGAGCAUCUGGAGCAGUAUAUUCCAUAGUUGGUUGUUUAUAAACACAAAUAGAAAUCAUACUCAGCAUUAGUUGGAGGUUCGGGGUUUUUGACUAUACAACACAAAUACCAGAGCCUCUAAGUUUCAGUUUCUCCUGAUACUGUGAAAGCUUUGUAGUGUCUCUCACCUUCAAGGCAUUUUUACUGCGUAGGCUUUGCUUAGUAGCUGUCCCUCACAGCAAAGUGCUAACUACUGCCACUGCUCUUAGCCACUAUAGUGACCCAGUGAGAUCAAGUCAAAGCCACUCAUAUGCCUAACAAAAUGCUGAAGAACAAUUUUGGACACAAGUGAUAAAGGCAGUGACGAAGCUCAUAAUUUAUGUUUUCUCAUAUCCCUUAAUGAGAUUUACAUGUUAAGUUAGUCUUAAUAUUACUCUCUAGAAUUUAGACUCUUCAAAAUAUCUUCCCCUCUCACCUAUUCUCUUGCUUAGUUCGGUUAUUUAGUUGGUUUGUUUGCUUGUUUUUAAAAUGGUAUCUUUCCAUUUAUUUAACGGAGGGCAGUGGGCAGCAGCAGACACCAAGUUAAAAGCUUAUGAAUGCCUUUGUUUUCUUCGGUUUCUUCUACAAAUUGUGAUCUCCAGUGUUUCUACCAUUCUUCUUAGAAGUUUUGUGUUAUAAGGAUUAAAUUCUCAGGAAGUUUAUCAUCAGUCUCUAGUGAUACUUGUGUGAUAAUUAAUUAGUACUGACCCAACAGGACUCUUAACAAUUAAGAGUUCAUAUGGAUGACAAUUAACAUUCAUAUGGAUCAGCAGCUUUAGUAAAUGACGGGACUUUCCCAGGGUUGUUUCUCUGUAGCUUGUUCUGGGGUGGGAGUCAACAGCUCUGAAUGAGCUGUUACCACUUAGGAAAGGGAUGAGAGGGUCACUGUGGAUAGUUCUGGGAAGCCAUCUUCUGAGUGCUCAGAGAGAGAGCACCGCUCCAACCAUAGCGCUCGCUCGGAAUGCUAAUAGGAAAGACAGCAAUCUGACAAAUCUCAUUAUGGCACAUUCCUGAAUGCCAGAAAUCCCACAUCAAAAUGGGUAAGUAGUAGCGGAGAAAGCCUGAAGUAAAGCAGAAAAUAAAGCAUUUCUAGAACUUGCAUACAACAGUUUCAAUGUAGCAAAACCAGAACAUGGUAUUUCAACAUUUAAAUAGGCAGGAAAAGUCUUUAUGAAGUAGAGAGCUUGAAAAUAAUAAAAUAUGUGGCGAAGGUUAAAUGGGCAACAAGCAUUCAGUACUAUGUAUCAGCUAAGAGCUAGGGAAAACUUCUACAAGAUACUAGACCACAAGAUUUUUUACAUCAGAAUAUUGUGUAAUGUUUUGCCUCUGGGUGCUGUGGAGCACAAAAUUACAAAGGAGCAAAGAGGCACUAGGUGAAUUCAUAGAGGAUAGGUCAACAGAUCAUGGCAGUUUCAGAAAUAUCCCUCUUCUGAUUUUCCCAUGUUUAGAAAGAACUGCUGGGAAACAGUCAUUCCAUAGUGCCUGUUUCUUAAACUCCCCCAUAACAUC